rnacentral:rRNA from 1 species
UACGUAGGGUGCGAGCGUUGUUCGGAUUCAUUGGGCGUAAAGGGUGCGUAGGUGGCUAGGUAAGUCGGAUGUGAAAUCUCGGGGCUCAACCCCGAAACUGCAUUCGAUACUGCCUGGCUAGAGUACUGGAGAGGAGAUUGGAAUUUACGGUGUAGCAGUGAAAUGCGUAGAUAUCGUAAGGAAGACCAGUGGCGAAGGCGGAUCUCUGGACAGUUACUGACACUGAGGCACGAAGGCCAGGGGAGCAAACGGG